rnacentral:rRNA from 1 species
GCAUAACGCGAAGAACCUUACCAGGCCUUGACAUGCAGAGAACUUUCUAGAGAUAGAGGUUCCCUUCGGGGCAGAGGUGACAGGUGGUGCAUGGUUGUCGUCAGCUCGUGUCGUGAGAUGUUGGGUUAAGUCCCGCAACGAGCGCAACCCUUGUCCCUAGUUGCCAGCAUUGAGUUGGGCACUCUAAGGAGACUGCCGUCGACAAGACGGAGGAAGGUGGGGAUGACGUCAAAUCAUCAUGCCCCUUAUGUCCUGGGCUACACACGUGCUACAAUGGAUGGUACAACGGGCUGCGAACUCGCGAGAGUAAGCCAAUCCCAAAAAACCAUUCUCAGUUCGGAUUGUAGGCUGCAACUCGCCUACAUGAAGUCGGAAUCGCUAGUAAUCGCGGAUCAGCAUGCCG